GGCCUGAUGCCACAUCUCUGGUAGCUACAAACCUACAAGCUUUGACAAAAGAUGUUAUGAUUAGGCUGAUACAAAGUUGUUUCUGCUUCAUUA
rnacentral:snoRNA from 1 species